ACUCCUACGGGAGGCAGCAGUGGGGAAUAUUGCACAAUGGGCGAAAGCCUGAUGCAGCAACGCCGCGUGAGGGACGACGGCCUUCGGGUUGUAAACCUCUUUUAGCAAGGAAGAAGCGAAAGUGACGGUACUUGCAGAAAAAGCGCCGGCUAACUACGUGCCAGCAGCCGCGGUAAU
rnacentral:rRNA from 1 species